CACGAACCGUACGAACGUUAUUCGGAAUUACUGGGCUUAAAGGGUUUGUAGGCGGCCAUGUAAGUCAGGUGUGAAAUCCCUCGGCUCAACCGAGGAACGGCGCUUGAUACUGCAUGGCUUGAGGGAGACAGGGGUAAGCGGAACUGAUGGUGGAGCGGUGAAACGCGUUGAUAUCAUCAGGAACACCGGUGGCGAAAGCGGCUUACUGGGUCUCUUCUGACGCUGAGGAACGAAAGCUAGGGUAGCGAACGGG
rnacentral:rRNA from 1 species